rnacentral:rRNA from 1 species
CCUACGGGGUGCUGCAGUGAGGAAUAUUGGUCAAUGGACGAGAGUCUGAACCAGCCAAGUAGCGUGAAGGAUGACUGCCCUAUGGGUUGUAAACUUCUUUUAUAUGGGAAUAAAAUGUUCCACGUGUGGGAUUUUGUAUGUACCAUAUGAAUAAGGAUCGGCUAACUCCGUGCCAGCAGCCGCGGUAAUACGGAGGAUCCGAGCGUUAUCCGGAUUUAUUGGGUUUAAAGGGAGCGUAGGUGGAUUGUUAAGUCAGUUGUGAAAGUUUGCGGCUCAACCGUAAAAUUGCAGUUGAAACUAGCAGUCUUGAGUACAGUAGAGGUGGGCGGAAUUCGUGGUGUAGCGGUGAAAUGCUUAGAUAUCACGAAGAACUCCGAUUGCGAAGGCAGUUCACUGGACUGCAACUGACACUGAGGCUCGAAAGUGUGGGUAUCAAACAGGAUUAGAUACCCGUGUGUC